rnacentral:rRNA from 1 species
GUAGGUUGCGAGCGUUGUCCGGAUUUACUGGGCGUAAAGCGCGCGCAGGCGGUUCCGAAAGUCCACGGUGAAAGCUCCCGGCUCAACUGGGAGAGGCCCGUGGAAACUUCGAAACUUGAAGGCGGGAGAGGCAAAUGGAAUUCCCGGUGUAGCGGUAAAAUGCGUAGAUACCGGGAGGAACACCAGUGGCGAAGGCGAUUUGCUGGCCCGCUCUUGACGCUCAGGCGCGAAAGCUAGGGUAGCGACCGGGAUUAGAUACCCCGUUAGUCCUAGCCGUAAACAAUGGUCACUAGGUGUUGUCGGUAUCGACCCCGGCAGUGCCGUAGCUAACGCAUUAAGUGACCCGCCUGGGGAGUACGACCGCAAGGUUA